rnacentral:rRNA from 1 species
CCAAUAGCGUAUAUUAAAGUUGUUGCAGUUAAAAAGCUCGUAGUUGAAUUUCGGGGUCAGCAGGUCGGUCGUGCCACUGGUAUGCACUGGCUUCGCUGAUGCCUCCUUUCUGAAGAACUGUAAUGCCAUUAAUUUGGUGUUGCAGGGAAACAGGACUGUUACUUUGAAAAAAUGAGAGUGUUUAAAGCAGGCUAACGCUUGAAUACAUUAGCAUGGAAUAAUGAAAUAGGACGUUCGAUCCUAUUUUGUUGGUUUCUAGGAUUGACGUAAUGAUUAAUAGGGAUAGUUGGGGGCAUUAGUAUUCAAUUGUCAGAGGUGAAAUUCUUGGAUUUAUUGAAGACUGACUACUGCGAAAGCAUUUGCCAAGGAUGUUUUCAUUAAUCAAGAACGAAAGUUAGGGGAUCGAAGACGAUCAGAUACCGUCGUAGUCUUAACCAUAAACUAUGCCGACUAGGGAUCGGAUGAUGUUAAUUUUUUAAUGACUCAUUCGGCGCCUUACG